AAAAGAAGUCACCCUUUCCCUGUAAAAGGAAUAACAGAGAAGGGAUGAAAAGGGAGAAGAGGGGAAACAGAAGAACGAUGUGUGCGUGUGUCUCACGCAUGCUCUCGAGUUUGCUGGAUUUCACUGCCCGGGUUCCCUUUGUCAUCUUUCCUCCACUCUGACGCGACAAAAGCUUUCCAGAGACGCACGAUUUUCUUCACACCAAUCCGUUUCUCGCUUCCGACAAGACUCGAGAAGAGACAAUGUCUCCAUAAUGUAUUCUACAGAAGUGUGUGAAAGAGAAGUGUGUGUAUCGCGUGUGCCCUCUCGCAU
rnacentral:lncRNA from 1 species